rnacentral:rRNA from 1 species
UACAGAGGGUGCAAGCGUUGUUCGGAAUCAUUGGGCGUAAAGGGCGCGUAGGCGGCCUUCUAAGUCAGACGUGAAAUCCCCCGGCUUAACCUGGGAACUGCGUCUGAUACUGGGAGGCUUGAGUAUGGGAGAGGGAUGUAGAAUUCCGGGUGUAGCGGUGGAAUGCGUAGAGAUCCGGAAGAACACCAGUGGCGAAGGCGGUCUGCUGGGCAGUUGCUGACACUGAGGCGCGACAGCGUGGGGAGCAAACAGG